AUUACAAAUUCAUCAAGUUGAAGGUUUUGUAUUCAUGGUCAGAUCAAAGGCUUAUUUCAGCUUUACUAAACCAAGCAAAAAGACAAAAAGCUAGCUAAAGGAAAGAAUUCGGCCGCGUGACAGGAAAAAUGGUAUGGUUUAAUUUGAUUAUUGCUUGAUGUUGAUGUUAAUAAUGUUGAAAAUCACAAUUAUUUUAGCAAGAUAAUUUCUGUUCUUGGAGGUAUAUGAGCAAUUAGAGUUAGAUCUAUAUAGACAAAAGAAUUGUACAUCUUCCAGUUUUUCCUCCUUUAUGUCCAAACUUUUAGGUUAAUUAAA